rnacentral:rRNA from 1 species
CAACGGCAUAGCUGGGUAGCUAUGUAUGGACGGGAUAAGUGCUGAAAGCAUCUAAGCAUGAAGCCCCCCUCGAGAUGAGAUUUCCCAACUUCGGUUAUAAGAUCCCUCAAAGACGAUGAGGUGAAUAGGUUCGAGGUGGAAGCGUAGCGAUACGUGGAGCUGACGAAUACUAAUCGAUCGAAGACUUAAUCAACAU